CAUAGCUAAAUGAAAAUAUUUAGUAAUCCCUGCCCAGUGGACUAAACGGCCGCAGUACCUUGACUGUGCUAAGGUAGCAUAAUAAUUUGGCUUUUAAUUGGAGUCGGGAAUGAAAGGGGUUCGGAAAGUUUGUCUCUUUGGGGUUCAAUAAAUUUACUUAUUAGGUGAAAAUUCCUAUAAUAUACAUUAGACGAGAAGACCCUUAGAAUUUUUGAUGUUUUGUUGGGGCGACAAAGUUACAAAAAACUUACUUAAAAAAGCUACACGCCGAGUAUGAUUAAAUUACCUGAGGGAUAACAGCAUAAUUAUAGAUUGUGACCUCGAUGUUGGAUUAAGGGGUAAUGUUUAGCAAUUAUUAUUGUUCUGUUCGAACCUUACGUGAUCU
rnacentral:rRNA from 1 species